ACCCCCUCAGGGUCGCACCUGGGGACUUUCCAAUACUCUACCGGUUUCGGCUACGGGAGGGAGAGUCAGUCAGAGGCCUACCCAUUCCAUUCCUAGCUUGGGCAGUGGCUAGCGAGUGGAAGGCCAUCUGCUGCAAGU